rnacentral:rRNA from 1 species
CUAGCGGCGGACGGGUUAGUAACGCGUGGGAAUAUACCCUUCACUACGGAAUAGCCUCGGGAAACUGGGAGUAAUACCGUAUACGCCCUUUGGGGGAAAGAUUUAUCGGUGAAGGAUUAGCCCGCGUCUGAUUAGAUAGUUGGUGGGGUAAUGGCCUACCAAGUCUACGAUCAGUAGCUGGUUUGAGAGGAUGAUCAGCAACACUGGGACUGAGACACGGCCCAGACUCCUACGGGAGGCAGCAGUGGGGAAUCUUAGACAAUGGGCGCAAGCCUGAUCUAGCCAUGCCGCGUGAGUGACGAAGGCCUUAGGGUCGUAAAGCUCUUUCGCCAGAGAUGAUAAUGACAGUAUCUGGUAAAGAAACCCCGGCUAACUCCGUGCCAGCAGCCGCGGUAAUACGGAGGGGGUUAGCGUUGUUCGGAAUUACUGGGCGUAAAGCGCACGUAGGCGGAUUGGAAAGUAUGGGGUGAAAUCCCAGGGCUCAACCCUGGAACGGCCUUGUAAACUCCCAGUCUAGAGUUCGAGAGAGGUGAGUGGAAUUCCAAGUGUAGAGGUGAAAUUCGUAGAUAUUUGGAGGAACACCAGUGGCGAAGGCGGCUCACUGGCUCGAUACUGACGCUGAGGUGCGAGAGUGUGGGGAGCAAACAGGAUUAGAUACCCUGGUAGUCCACACCGUAAACGAUGAAUGCCAGACGUCAGG